rnacentral:tRNA from 1 species
GGGGCUGUAGUCCAGCUAGGUAGAACGGCAGGCUCCAGACCUGCAGGGGCUCGGUGUCUAAUCCUAACCGAACUCUGGGUAAAGGCCGUGGGUUCAAGUCCCACCGGCCCCA